rnacentral:lncRNA from 1 species
GUAGGUGUUAGCCUUCUGUAUUAUUGAAAAUGGUCGUUCAUGGCUAUUUUCGACAAAAAUGGGGGUUGUGUGGCCAUUGAUCAUCGACCAGACGCUCAUACACCUCACCCCACAUAUGUUUCCUUGUCGUAGAUCACAUUCUUGGAUUUCUGGUGGAGACCAUUUCUUGGUCAAAAAUCCGUAGGUCUUAGCCUCUAAUAUUAUUGAAAAUGGUCGCUCAUGGCUAUUUUCAUAAAAAAUGGGGGUUGUGUGGCCAUUUAUCAUCGACUAGAGGCUCAUAAAUCUCACCCCACAUAUGUUUCCUUGCCAUAGAUCACAUUCUUGGAUUUCUGGUGGAGACCAUUUCUUGGUCAAAAAUCCGUAGGUGUUAGCCUUCGGUAUUAUUGUAAAUGGUCAUUCAUGGCUAUUUUCGGCAAAAUGGACCAUUUCUUGGUCAAAAAUCCGUAGGUGUUAGCCUUCGGUAUUAUUGAAAAUGGUCGUUCAUGGCUAUUUUGACAAAAAUGGGGGUUGUGUGGCCAUUGAUCAUCGACUAGAGGCUCAUACACCUCACCCCACAUAUGUUUCCUUGCCAUAGAUCACAUUCUUGGAUUUCUGGUGGAGACCAUUUCUUGGUCAAAAAUCCGUAGGUGUUAGCCUUCGGUAUUAUUGUAAAUGGUCAUUCAUGGCUAUUUUCGGCAAAAUGGGGGUUCUGUGGCCAUUGAUCAUCGACCAGAGGCUCGUACACCUCACCCCACAUAUGUUUCCUUGCCAUAGAUCACAUUCUUGGAUUUCUGGUGGAGACCAUUUCUUGGUCAAAAAUCCGUAGGUGUUAGCCUUUGGUAUUUUUGAAAAUGGUCGUUCAUGGCUAUUUUCGGCAAAAUGGGGGUUGUGCGGCCAUUGAUCGUCGACUAGAGGCUCAUACACCUCACCCCACAUAUGUUUCCUUGCCAUAGAUCACAUUCUUGGAUUUAUGGUGGAGACCAUUUCUUGGUCAAAAAUUUGUAGGUGUUAGCCUUCAGUGUCAUUGAAAAUGGUCGUUCAUGGCUAUUUUCGACAAAAAUUAGGGUUGUGUGGCCAUUGAUCGUCGACCAGAGGCUCAUACACCUCACCCCACAUAUGUUUCCUUGCCAUAGAUCACAUUCUUGGAUUUCUGGUGGAGACCAUUUCUUGGUCAAAAAUCCGUAGGUGUUAGCCUUCGGUAUUAUUGAAAAUGGUCGUUCAUGGCUAUUUUCGACAAAAAUGGGGGUUGUGUGGCCAUUGAUCAUCGACCAGAGGCUCAUACACCUCACCCCACAUAUGUUUCCUUGCCAUAGAUCACAUUCUUGGAUUUCUGGUGGAGACCAUUUCUUGGUCAAAAAUUCGUAGGUCUUAGCCUUCGGUAUUAUUGAAAAUGGUCAUUCAUGGCUAUUUUCGGCAAAAUGGGGGUUGUGUGGCCAUUGAUCAUCGACCAUAGGCUCAUACACCUCACCCCACAUAUGUUUCCUUGCCAUAGAUCACAUUCUUGGAUUUCUGGUGGAGACCAUUUCUUGGUCAAAAAUCCGUAGGUGUUAGCCUUCGGUAUUAUUGUAAAUGGUCAUUCAUGGCUAUUUUCGACAAAAAUGGGGGUUGUGUGGCCAUUAAUCAUCGACCAGAGGCUCAUAAAAAAUGGGGGUUGUGUGGCCAUUUAUCAUCGACUAGAGGCUCAUAAACCUCACCCCACAUAUGUUUCCUUGCCAUAGAUCACAUUCUUGGAUUUCUGGUGGAGACCAUUUCUUGGACAAAAAUCCGUAGGUCUUAGCCUCUAGUAUUAUUGAAAAUGGUCGCUGUUAGCCUUCGGUAUUAUUGAAAAUGGUCAUUCAUGGCUAUUUUCGACAAAAAUGGGGGUUGUGUGGCCAUUGAUCAUCGACUAGAGGCUCAUACACCUCACUACACAUAUGUUUCCUUGCCAUAGAUCACAUUCUUGGAUUUCUGGUGGAGACCAUUUCUUGGUCUAAAAUCCGUAGGUGUUAGCCUCUAGUAUUAUUGAAAAUGGUCGCUCAUGGCUAUUUUCAAGGUCGCUCAUGGCUAUUUUCAUAAAAAAUGGGGGUUGUGUGGCCAUUUAUCAUCGACUAGAGGCUCAUAAACCUCACCCCACAUAUGUUUCCUUGCCAUAGAUUACAUUCUUGGAUUUCUGGUGGAAACCAUUUCUUGGUUAAAAACUCGUACGUGUUAGCCUUCGGUAUUAUUGAAAAUGGUCGUUCAUGGCUAUUUUCAAGGUCGCUCAUGGCUAUUUUCAAGGUCGCUCAUGGCUAUUUUCAUAAAAAAUGGGGGUUGUGUGGCCAUUGAUCGUCGACCAGAGGCUCAUACACCUCACCCCACAUAUGUUUCCUUGCCAUAGAUCACAUUCUUGGAUUUCUGGUGGAGACCAUUUCUUGGUCAAAAAUCCGAAUGUGUUAGCCUCCGGUAUUUUUGAAAAUGGUCAUUCAUGGCUAUUUUCGACAAAAAUGGGGGUUGUGUGGCCAUUGAUCAUCGACCAGACGCUCAUACACCUCACCCCACAUAUGUUUCCUUGCCAUAGAUCACAUUCUUGGAUUUAUGGUGGAGACCAUUUCUUGGUCAAAAAUCCGUAGGUGUUAGCCUUCAGUGUCAUUGAAAAUGGUCGUUCAUGGCUAUUUUCGACAAAAAUUAGGGUUGUGUGGCCAUUGAUCGUCGACCAGAGGCUCAUACACCUCACCCCACAUAUGUUUCCUUGCCAUAGAUCACACCAUAGAUUACAUUCUUGGAUUUCUGGUGGAAACCAUUUCUUGGUUAAAAACUCGUACGUGUUAGCCUUCGGUAUUAUUGAAAAUGGUCAUUCAUGGCUAUUUUCGACAAAAAUGGGGGUUGUGUGGCCAUUGAUCAUCGACUAGAGGCUCAUACACCUCACCCCACAUAUCUUUCCUUGCCAUAGAUCACAUUCUUGGAUUUCUGGUGGAGACCAUUUCUUGGUCAAAAAUCCGUAGGUGUUAGCCUUCGGUAUUAUUGUAAAUGGUCAUUCUAUGGCAAGGAAACAUAUGUGGGGUGAGGUGUAUGAGCGUUUGGUCGAUGAUCAAUGGCCACACAACCCCCAUUUUUGCCGAAAAUAGCCAUGAGCGACCAUUUUCAAUAAUACUAGAGGCUAAGACCUACGGAUUUUUGACCAAGAAAUGGUCUCCACCAGAAAUCCAAGAAUGUGAUCUAUGGCAAGGAAACAUAUGUGGGGUGAGGUGUAUGAGCCUCUGGUCGAUGAUCAAUGGCCACACAACCCCCAUUUUUGUCGAAAAUAGCCAUGAAUGACCAUUUUCAAUAAUACCGAAGGCUAACACCUACGGAUUUUUGACCAAGAAAUGGUCUCCACCAGAAAUCCAAGAAUGUGAUCUAUGGCAAGGAAACAUAUGUGGGGUGAGGUGUAUGAGCGUCUGGUCGAUGAUCAAUGGCCACACAACCCCCAUUUCUUGGUUAAAAAUCCGUAGGUGUUAGCCUUCGGUAUUAUUGAAAAUGGUCGUUCAUGGCUAUUUUCGACAAAAAUGGGGGUUGUGUGGCCAUUGAUCAUCGACCAGAGGCUCAUACACCUCACCCCACAUAUGUUUCCUUGCCAUAGAUCACAUUCUUGGAUUUCUGGUGGAGACCAUUUCUUGGUCAAAAAUCCGUAGGUCUUAGCCUUCGGUAUUAUUGAAAAUGGUCAUUCAUGGCUAUUUUCGGCAAAAUGGGGGUUGUGUGGCCAUUGAUCAUCGACCAUAGGCUCAUACACCUCACCCCACAUAUGUUUCCUUGCCAUAGAUCACAUUCUUGGAUUUCUGGUGGAGACCAUUUCUUGGUCAAAAAUCCGUAGGUGUUAGCCUUCGGUAUUAUUGUAAAUGGUCAUUCAUGGCUAUUUUCGACAAAAAUGGGGGUUGUGUGGCCAUUGAUCAUCGACCAGAGGCUCAUAAAAAAUGGGGGUUGUGUGGCCAUUUAUCAUCGACUAGAGGCUCAUAAACCUCACCCCACAUAUGUUUCCUUGCCAUAGAUCACAUUCUUGGAUUUCUGGUGGAGACCAUUUCUUGGUCAAAAAUCCGUAGGUCUUAGCCUCUAGUAUUAUUGAAAAUGGUCGCUGUUAGCCUUCGGUAUUAUUGAAAAUGGUCAUUCAUGGCUAUUUUCGACAAAAAUGGGGGUUGUGUGGCCAUUGAUCAUCGACUAGAGGCUCAUACACCUCACCCCACAUAUGUUUCCUUGCCAUAGAUCACAUUCUUGGAUUUCUGGUGGAGACCAUUUCUUGGUCAAAAAUCCGUAGGUGUUAGCCUCUAGUAUUAUUGAAAAUGGUCGCUCAUGGCUAUUUUCAAGGUCGCUCAUGGCUAUUUUCAUAAAAAAAUGGGGGUUGUGUGGCCAUUGAUCAUCGACCAGAGGCUCAUACACCUCACCCCACAUAUGUUUCCUUGCCAUAGAUCACAUUCUUGGAUUUCUGGUGGAGACCAUUUCUUGGUCAAAAAUCCGUAGGUGUUAGCCUUUGGUAUUAUUGAAAAUGGUCAUUCAUGGCUAUUUUCGGCAAAAUGGGGGUUGUGUGGCCAUUGAUCAUCGACUAGAGGCUCAUACACCUCACCCCACAUAUGUUUCCUUGUCGUAGAUCACAUUCUUGGAUUUCUGGUGGAGACCAUUUCUUGGUCUAAAAUCCGUAGGUGUUAGCCUCUAGUAUUAUUGAAAAUGGUCGCUCAUGGCUAUUUUCGACAAAAAUGGGGGUUGUGUUGCCAUUGAUCAUCGACCAGAGGCUCGUACACUUCACCCCACAUAUGUUUUCUUGCCAUAGAUCAUAAUCUUGGAUUUCUCGUGGAGACCAUUUCUUGGUUAAAAACUCGUACGUGUUAGCCUUCGGUAUUAUUGUAAAUGGUCAUUCAUGGCUAUUUUCGGCAAAAUGGGGGUUGUGUGGCCAUUGAUCAUCGACCAGAGGCUCAUACACCUCACCCCACAUAUGUUUCCUUGCCAUAGAUCACAUUCUUGGAUUUCUGGUGGAGACCAUUUCUUGCUCAAAAAUCCGUAGGUGUUAGCCUUCGGUAUUAUUGAAAAUGGUCAUUCAUGGCUAUUUUCGACAAAAAUGGGGGUUGUGUGGCCAUUGAUCAUCGACCAGACGCUCAUACACCUCACCCCACAUAUGUUUCCUUGCCAUAGAUCACAUUCUUGGAUUUCUGGUGGAGACCAUUGAAAGGGAAUUAGGCUUACACCUAGUUCCUAUAUAAUUUUGGUGGUUGAAUUGCCCAACACAAAUCUUUGGACUAACUAGUUUGUUCUAGUGUAUAAGUUAUACAGGUGCAAAAGGUUCACACUUAGCCAAUAAAAAGACCAAGUGUUGGGUUCAACAAAAGAGCAAAGGAGCAACCGAAGGCUCCUCUGGUCUGGCGCACCGGACUGUCCGGUGCACCACCAGACAGUGUCCGGUGCACCAGAGGACUUCAACGCGAACUCGUCGCCUUCGGGAAUUCUCCAGAGCCGGCGCGCUAUAAUUCACCGGACUGUCCGGUGUACACCGGACGGUGUCCGGUGCUCCAACGGGACGCAGCUCAGGAACUCGCCAGCCUCGGGAAAUCAGAGCGGCUGCUCCGCUAUAAUUCACCGGACAUGUCCGGUGUGCACCGGACUGUCCGGUGCAUCCACGGAGCAAAGGCUACUUCGGCGCCAACGGCUACCUGCGAUGCAUUUAAUGCGCGCGCAGCGCGCGCAGAAGUCAGAGUCGCCCAUGCCGGCGCACCGGACAGUGAACAGUGCAUGUCCGGUGCGCCACCGGACAUCGAGGCGGGCCCAGAAGUCAGAACUCCAACGGUCAGAUUCCAACGGCACUGGUGACGUGGCAGGGGCACCGGACAUGUCCGGUGUGCACCGGACUGUCCGGUGCGCCAUCGAACAGACAGCCUCCACCAACGGUUAUUUUGGUGGUUGGGGCUAUAAAUACCCCAACCACCCAACCAUUCAUUGCAUCCAAGUUUUCCACUUCCCAACUACUUACAAGAGCUCUAGCAUUCAAUUCUAGACACACCAAAGAGAUCAAAUCCUCUCCAAAUUCCACACAACGCCCUAGUGACUAGAGAGAGAGAUUUGCUUGUGUUCUUUCGAGCUCUUGCGCUUGGAUUGCUUUCUUCUUUCUUGAUUCCUUCAUUGCGAUCAAACUCACUUGUAAUUGAGGCAAGAGACACCAAACUUGUGGUGGUCCUUGUGGGAACUUUGUGUUCCAAGUGAUUGAGAAGAGAAAGCUCACUCGAUCCGUGGGAUCGUUUGAGAGAGGGAAGGGUUGAAAGAGACCCGACCUUUGUGGCCUCCUCAACGGGGAGUAGGUUUGAGAGUACCGAACCUCGGUAAAACAAAUCCGCGUGUCACACUCUUCAUUUGCUUGCGAUUUGUUUUCCACCCUCUCUCGCGGACUCGGUUUCAUAUUUCUAACGCUAACCCGGCUUGUAGUUGUGUUUAUAUUUGUAAAUUUCAGUUUCGCCCUAUUCACCCCCCCCUCUAGGCGACUAUCAAUUGGUAUCAAAGCCAGGUUCUUCAUUAGAGCCUAACCGCUCGAAGUAAUGUCGGGAGAUCACGCCAAGAAGGAGAUGGAGACCGGCGAAAAGCCCACUACAAGCCACGGGAGCACUUCAUCGGAAGAGUCCCGCACUAAGAGGAAGGAGAAGAAGAAGAGCUCCUCCAACAAAGGGAAGGAGAAGAAAUCUUCUUCUCACCACAAAGAGAAGAAGGAGAAAUCUUCCUCUCACAAGCCGCAUCGGAGUGGGGACAAGCACAAGAGGAUGAGGAAAGUCGUCUACUACGAGACCGACACUUCAUCAACAUCCACCUCCGGCUCCGACGCGGCGUCCGUCACUUCUAAACGCCAAGAGCGUAAGAAGUAUAGUAAGAUUCCCCUAAGCUACCCUCGCAUUUCUAAACAUACACCUUUACUUUCCGUCCCAUUAGGCAAACCACCAACUUUUGAUGGUGAAUAUUACGCUAGGUGGAGCGAUUUAAUGCGAUUUCAUCUAACCUCGCUCCACAAAAGUAUAUGGGAUGUUGUUGAGUUUGGUGCACAGGUACCGUCCGUAGGGGAUGAAGACUAUGAUGAGGAUGAGGUGGCCCAAAUCGAGCACUUCAACUCUCAAGAAACAACAAUACUCCUCGCCUCUUUAAGUAGAGAGGAGUAUAACAAAGUUCAAGGGUUGAAGAGCGCCAAGGAGGUUUGGGAUGUGCUCAAAACCGCGCACGAGGGAGAUGAGCUCACAAAGAUCACCAAGCGGGAAACGAUCGAGGGGGAGCUCGGUCGGUUCCGGCUUCGCAAAGGGGAAGAGCCACAACACAUGUACAACCGGCUCAAGACCUUGGUGAACCAAGUGCGCAACCUCGGGAGCAAGAAGUGGGACGACCACGAAGUGGUUAAGGUUAUUCUAAGAUCUCUCAUUUUCCUUAACCCCACUCAAGUUCAAUUAAUUCGUGGUAAUCCUAGAUAUACUAAAAUGACCCCAGAGGAAGUUAUCGGGAAUUUUGUAAGUUUUGAGUGCAUGAUCGAAGGCUCGAGGGAGAUCAACGAGCUUGAUGAUCCCUCCACAUCCGAAGCUCAACCCGUCGCAUUCAAGGCGACAGAGGAAAAGAAGGAGGAGUCUACACCAAGUAGACAACCAAUCGACGCCUCCAAGCUCGACAAUGAGGAAAUGGCGCUCGUCAUCAAGAGCUUCCGCCAAAUCCUCAAGCAAAGGAGGGGGAAAGACUACAAGUCCCGCUCCAAGAAAGUUUGCUACAAGUGUGGUAAGCCCGGUCACUUUAUUGCAAAAUGUCCAUUAUCAAGUGACAGUGACAGGGAUAACGACAAGAAGGGCAAGAGGAGAGAAAAGAAGAGGUACUACAAGAAGAAGGGCGGCGAUGCCCAUGUUUGUCGGGAGUGGGACUCCGACGAGAGCUCAAGCGACUCCUCCGACGACGAGGACGCCGCCAACAUCGCCGUCACCAAGGGACUCCUCUUCCCCAACGUCGGCCACAAGUGCCUCAUGGCAAAGGACGGCAAACGGAAGAAGGUUAAAUCUAACUCCUCCACUAAAUAUGAGUCUUCUAGUGAUGAUAAUGCUAGUGAUGAGGAGGAUAACUUGCGAUCUCUUUUUGCCAACCUCAACAUGCAACAAAAGGAAAAACUUAAUGAAUUGAUUAGUGCCAUUCAUGAAAAGGAUGAUCUCUUGGACACUCAAGAGGACUUCCUUAUUAAAGAAAAUAAGAAGCAUGUUAAGGUUAAAAAUGCUUAUGCUCUAGAAGUAGAAAAAUGUCAAAAACUAUCUAGUGAGCUAAGCACUUGCCAUGAGAUGAUUGACAACCUUAGAAAUGAAAAUGCUAGUUUAAAUGCUAAGGUUGAUUCUCAUGUUUGUGAUAUUUCAAUUCCCAAUCUUAGAAACAAUAAUGAUGAUUUACUUGCUAAGAUUGAAGAAUUGAAUGUAUCUCUUGCUAGCCUUAGAUUAGAAAAUGAAAACUUGAUUGCUAAGGCUAAAGAUUUUGAUGUUUGCAAAGUUACAAUUUCCGAUCUUAGAGAUAAGAAUGAUAUAUUACGUGCUAAGAUUGUUGAACUUAAUUCUUGCAAACCAUCUACAUCUACCAUUGAGCAUGUCACUAUUUGUACUAGAUGUAGAGAUAUUGAUGUUGAUGCUAUUCAUGAUCACAUGAUUUUGAUUAAACAACAAAAUGAUCAUAUAGCAAAAUUAGAUGCUAAAAUUGUCGAGCAUAACUGAGAAAAUGAAAAGUUUAAAUUUGCUAGAAGUAUGCUCUAUAAUGGGAGACGCCCAGGCAUCAAGGAUGGCAUUGGCUUUCAAAGGGGAGACAAUGUCAAACUUAAUGCCCCUCCUAAAAGAUUGUCCAACUUUGUUAAGGGCAAGGCUCCCAUGCCUCAGGAUAAUGAGGGUUACAUUUUAUACCCUGCCGGUUAUCCCGAGGACAAAAUUAGGAGAAUUCACUCUAGGAAGUCUCACUCUGGCCCUAAUCAUGCUUUUAUGUAUAAGGGUGAGACAUCUAGCUCUAGGCAACUGUUGGAGACUUGUUCUCAAGUGCUAUGAGUUAAGAACAAGGCAACAUAGAAAAUGUUAAUCGUUAAAGUCCUUCGUCCUCCGAAGCAUUAUUUCCCUUAGGAUAUAAUGGUUUACGGACGAAGGUCUGGAAGGACAUACCUUCAUAAACUCAUUAAACAAUGACGAAGGAGGAAAUGUAAAUGAUAUAAAAGACAACAUGAACGAUUAUAUAUUACUAUCAGGCAUAAACACAAAUAUUAUUUAAUUACAAGUGUACCUUCAAUCGAAGGAGAUGACAGUACAAGCGUGACGCAAAAGUGAAUGCCAAGUCAGCGUGAACAGUACGGGGUACUGUUCACCUAUUUAUAGGCACGGGACACAGCCCUUACAAAAUUACAUUCAUGCCCUUUACAUUUGAUAAUAAUUCUAUAGUAAUCUGUCGAGGUCUAAUAGCCUUUUCAUCUUUAAGUCGGUUUCACCUUUGCUGUCACGCCGAAGCUUCCUGCUCACACCUUCGGCGCUGCAUCAACCUUCGUAUUAUUCUGGUCUACUGUGAUGCCGACUUAGUCCGAAGGAUACCUGUUCACACAUUUACUCCAGAAAUACUGUUAAAUCCUGUUUUUGAGGACCUUCGGAUGCCGAAGGUCCCCAACAGUAGCCCCUCGCAAUAUUAAUUGUUCGAAAUAAUAAAUUUAGAUUGCGAAUGGACGAAGGCUUUACGCCGAAGGUCCGAAAAAACACCUUCCCUUUGCUAGAAUAGCAACAUUCACUGACAAGCGGGGUCUUUCAAUUUUCAACGCACUGGCGUAUAAAUACGGUCAUACCGCAAACUCAUUUGGCACGCUCUCUGCCAUUGCUCCGCUCACUCAAUUUUUAGCUCUUGGCACUAAAUUUGCUAGCUUUUAGUUUUGAAGCUUCGGCUUGAAAACAGUUUUUUAGUGUUUCCGAAGAUGUCUGAAGAUAAGAAGGCUGCUGCUGAGACGAAGCUGAGUCUUGACGAAGAGAAAACUUGGGGUUUCUUAUAGCGAUGUCGAAGACCAACACAGAAAAAAUCACCAAGGAGAUUCUGGAAGGUUUGUCUGAGAUACUGGUGACAGUGACAGCUAUGAUGUGGACAGCGGUGGUGAAGACUCCGAAGAUCGUCCCUGGCGACCAAGCCAUUCAGUUUAUGGUAAAUCAACUAUCAAAGAGAAUCAUCUUGUCAACAUGAGAGGAAGGUAUUUCCGGGAUUUGUCCAUUGUGAGGGCCGACGAAGGGGAGAAAACUUGUCCACACCCUGAAGAGAAUGAAGUCGUAGUGUACCGAAGCUUUUUGAAGCUGGGCUGCGAUUUCCCUUGAGCAGCUUCGUCGUGGAGGUGCUGAAAAUUUCGAAGUCUAUCUUCAUCAACUUACCCCCGAGGCAAUAUAAGGCUGAAUAUCUUCGUGUGGGCCGUGAGAAGCCAAGGUCUGAAGCCUGAUGCAAAAAGCUUCUGCAAUAUACACGAAUUAUCAUAUGAACAAACCUUGGGGUAAGGAACAGUACCACAAUAAUUUGGCUGCUACAGUUUUGUUUCUCGGUCGGGUCAAGCUGCCCCGUGCCAACUUUCGGAAGAGAUGGCCCAGGGACUGGAUGACAGAAUGGUUCUAUGUAAAAUGAUCUGACAAGACGAGAAGAUAUCAAAGGUAUAAUUAUGCGUCCUAUUUGGCAAAGCUUCGGCCUUCGAGGCCGAAGGUUGAAAUGAAUGAAGCUGCCGAAGAAUGCCAGAGGCCUUCGGCGUUGUCUGCUCUUUUAUUGGAACAAGAGACUUAGUACAAGAGCAUAUGCCUUCAGGGUGUGGCCGCUCGCGGAGAAAUGGGAAAUGCCACAAGAAACCAUAAAAGAGGCCGACGAAGGUGGACUUAUCAGGUUUAAGUACACUUUUAAGUUUGGAGAUAAAUUAUUGAGCCAGAUGAUGACUGGUUAAAAAGCAUUGAAAUUUAAGUGAUGAGCUGCUUGGGCUAUUCGAAGGCCGAAGACACUGCAAUGUCAGCAGCCUUCGGAGGCCGAAAAAAGAAGAGGCUGAAUCGGGUAUUUGAUGCAAUCGGGUUUGUCUACCCUGACUAUUGCUAUCCUUCCGAAGGCAGAAGAGAAAAAACACAACCUCUGCAAAGAAGAAACUGCAACUGCUCCUAGCGAGCCAGAACCGAAAAGAAAGAAGAUAAAGGUUCUACGCAUCGGCCGCGCUAUAUUGAACCAGCUUCGGUGCCUGAGUUUACCGGAGAAACUUCUUCGGCCACCGAAGCUGAAAAACCAACCAGCCAGCCUUGUUGCCAGAAGUCGCAGAAACGGCCGAAGUGCCAACAAAGAUAGAAUUGGAACAAUCAAAAUUUUGCUAUCAGAAACAAAGAGAAAGCCGAAGCGCCGUCCACAGAAAAAAUGGAAGAGGUAAAAGAAGCAACUGAGGGCUCCAAAACAUCAGAGUUUUGAGUCCUGCAGCAAACGUUGAGACAGUAAAAAAUCAAAAAGUGCCAGCAAUGACUCCGAAAAGAAAGAGAAUGGCUAAUGUGCUAGAUGUACUGGAAACGAUCAAAUCUUCAAGCACACCUCCGAAGAAGGCUGCUGUCAUUCCUGAAACAGCAACUGAAAUUUCUGGUUCUACAGCUCCAGAGCAAGAGAUUGAAGCCGAAGCUGGGCCCUCAGAGCCCGCAAAGAUAAAACCCUUGGAAAGUGAGGCAGAAAAAAUAACAAAGCCAACUUUUGUUGAAGAAACCGGUGUUAUUGCCCCCGAAGCAUCCCCCAAAAUUCGUGAUUAUAUUUUCGUCAUGCUUCGGGGAAAAAAUAUCAGAAAAAGAAGAACAAGAGGCCCAGCACUAUGCCCAAAAACUGAAAUAUCCAAAGGGGGCGUUAAUAUUUAAUGGCAGUGGAGAAGAAGAUUUCUUGUAUUGUCUUCCCGACAGCAAGGAGAUUUCUGUCUGCCGGGAGAUGAGCAAGAGCUUCGGAUUCCCAACUUUAGAAGACGGGCUCUCGGUGCUGUCGAAGAACGAUCUGGCCGACAGCCUGGCUUACAAUAGCUUAAAGGUCAACAAAUGAAAUCCUUGUAUUUUUUUCGUUCGUUUAAACCUAUUGACACACACAUAUUUCUCUUUGCAGGGCCUGAUACUUAGCAAUGCCCUCAGAGCACAGAAAGAUGCUGAAGACGAAGGGUGUACUAUAGCCCUGAGCAACCUUCGUUCCGAAGUAAUUGAACUGAGGAACGAAGGUCUCGAAAAAGAUAAAAUAUUAUACUCAUUGAUAAAUAAAAUAAAGGAAGACGAAGCUGUUUUUAAAGUUCAAGCUGAAGCUCAGAAGCGCGAAAUUGAAGAUCUUCGGAAACAACUGGCCAGAGCUAAGGAAGAACGCAUACUUGAAGAAACAAAGCGUGAACUCAGCGAUCAAUGGGCAGAUCACCUAGAAGUGACUGUUGAAAAGCUUCGUUCGUCCAAAAAGAGAUGCUAUGACAAAUCUAUAGAUUGUGUUAAGAAGCUAAAGGCUAGCUUCGCCAAGGUCGGCGCAUUCUCAAGUGAGGAAAACUUUUCGAGAGGCAAUCCCGAAGGUGUCAUCGAAUGGAUCGACCACGAAGCUGAUGCCUUCGAAGAAAUUUUAAAUAGCCGAGGAGAUAUAUGCGCCUUCUCUGGUGCCAGAGGGAUUGCCACCAUCUUGGAGAAGAAGGGCUGCGAACAUGUAAAAAUUUUAGCACAAUCCGAAGCUGCUUUGUCCUUUGAAGAUGCAAGAGAUCCUUCGGCCGAAGCUAGCUAAUUGGUGGAAAUUUUUUACCGAUAUCUGGGAUAAUGGUGGCCGAGAAAUGGCCGGAGAAAUUAUUCGAAGAAGUGAAAAGGGCAUUCACGAUGCUAGAGAAGUAGCUGAGGCUGCUGAAAAGAGCGCAGAGGCCGAAGGUCAAUUAGGUAUUAACUAAUAGUUUUUAUCGUGUUGUAACUUAGGCUUUAAGAUUUGUUUGCGAUUUGUAAUAGCAAUGUAGCCGUGUCCUGUCCUUCCUCAGAUCCUACUGAAGUAUCUCCGGGUGCUCGGCCUAGGGGUGACGAUGAGAUUAAAAAGAUGGCUGAAGCUAUUAUGGAUGAAGUUGUCGAUCGACUGUUGAACGAAGCUGCAGAAGUGGUACUUAGGGAAGAUAAAUGUAUUGUAAAAACAUUUUAAAUGUAAUAUGUGUAAUAUCUUGUAAUCCUGCAUGUAAUAUAUUUGUUUUAUUUUUCUUUAUGGUUCAAUUCUUUACGAUGCAUGAAACUUUACAUACGUACCGUUUUUGAGUCUUUGGCGAAAAAACACCUUCCCUUCUUUUCAUGCUUCGUGAAGAAGAAUUGCCAUUUAUCACAACAAUAUCCAAGUAUCCUGAAAAGUAUUCAAGCUUCGUAGAAACAUUCUUCAAGGCUAUACUUCAGAGAUCAAUAUUGUUUCUCCUUGUGACUUGGCAUGAUUUGCCCCUUUUUCAAAGCGUUUUCCCGAAGAUCGAUAUCAUACCCUUUCUUAUGCCACAUGCAGUAUGAUGUAUGAUGCUUAUGUUAUGCAAAAAUGAUGUGAUGAUGUUAUGCUAUGUAAGGUGAUAUUCCGAAGGUACACGCAUAUCUGCGCGAUAAAACACAUAAUCUUUUUGUGAAUCAGCGUUGACUUUUCGCUGUAAGCCUCCCUUAGGAGCUUCUUCGCCUUUUACUUCAGCGGAAUCAGCGUUGACUUUUCGCUGUAAGCUCUGCAUUCCCUUAGGAACGACUUUGGAGCUUCUUCGCCUUUUACUUAGGCGGUAUCAGCGUUGACUUUUCGCUGUAUGCUCUGCAUUCCUUUUGGAACGACUUUGGAGCAGAAAACUUACACUGCGCUCCCUUCGGAACGGCUUUUUGUGACUUCGUCAAACUUACUCUGCGUUCCUUGGAACGACUUUUCGUUGCUUCGAAGAAUUUUUCGAUAAUUCGAAGGUCCUCUUUGUUAUGACAAAUCCUUAAACUUCAACAACUGAAGCCUGUGAAGAAAAUAUAUUUUCCUUGUGGGAAUCAGUGAAACUAUUUUCAUGAAAUCUAAACAAUGUCCUUUAUUACACAAAAAAUAAAACUGAAUGAAAAAGAUUACUAUUAAGGUAGGAUAUUUGUCAAUAGAUGUGCUUUGAUUCUGGCACAGUGCUGUUGACCGUGCGAGCUUCGGACUGUUCUCUGAAGUCCCUUUGAUGCGGAGCAUAUUGGCUCCCUUCUGGCUGCUGGCCUUGUUGCAACGGAGGUGGAGGCGGAGGCUGUUGCCAGGAAGCUUGAGGCUGACUCGCCGAAGCAACAGAAACUGCAGGAUGGUUGCCCACAUAUUCUGGGAUGUAGGGCGAAUGAUACGAAGCUGUAUGCAUGACCUGCUUCGGCUGGGCUUGUUGUGCUGCUGCUUCAGCUAUUUCCUUUUGCUUCUGAAUAGUAACAUGGCACAUCCUGGUAGUAUGGCCUUUGUUCUCACCGCAGAAUAAGCAAAAGAUUCUUCUCGGUUGAUCGCCAAAUCUUCCUCCGAAGCCCCUGGCGCCUCUGCCUCUUGGAGCUGGUGGUCGGAAAGAGCUUUGCUGUUGCCCCGAAGCCUGUGAGGAGUAUUGUGGCCUUUGCUGCUGACUCCCUUUAUCAUCAUUUUGAGUAGAAUUGUGAAUUGACCUGACAUGCCUCGGGUAAAACCUUCCUCCGAAGCCCCUGGUCAUCUCAGAAAACCUGAAAGCCUCCUCCCUUCUUUGACGAAAAUCAUUGUCAGCUCGAAUGUAUUCGUCCAUCUUCUAGAGUAGCUUUUCCAGCGUUUGUGGUGGUUUCCUGGCAAAAUACUGUGCUGACGGCCCUGGCCGAAGCCCCUUGAUCAUAGCCUCAAUGACAAUCUCAUUGGGCACUGUUGGCGCCUGUGCCCUCAAUCGCAGAAACCUUCGGACAUACGCCUGAAGGUACUCUUCAUGGUCCUGGGUACACUGGAAGAGAGCCUGAGCAGUGACCGGCUUCGUCUGAAACCCUUGAAAGCUAGUUAUCAGCAUAUCCUUCAAUUUCUGCCAAGAAGUGAUUGUCCCUGGCCGAAGAGAAGAGUACCAAGUCUGAGCAACGCUUCUGACGGCCAUGACAAAGGAUUUUGCCAUGACUGCCGUAUUGCCACCGUACGAAGAUAUAGUUGCUUCAUAGCUCAUUAGGAAUUGCUUAGGGUCUGAGUGACCGUCAUAUAUGGGAAGCUGGGGUGGCUUGUAAGUCUGUGGCCAAGGUGUAGCCUGCAAUUCUGUUGAGAGAGGAGAAGCAUCAUCAAAAGCAAAGUUUCCAUGAUGGAAAUCGUCAUACCAGUCAUCCUCAUUACGGAAGUCUUCCUGGUGAAGCUCUCUGCGUGGAGGCCUUCGGUUUUGAUCAUCUUGAACAAGAUGACGAACCUCUUCGGAAGCUUCAUCUAUUUGUCUCUGAAGAUCAGCUAGACGGGCCAUCUUCUCCUUCUUGCGUUGAACCUGCUGCUGAAGGAUUUCCAGAUUUUGAAUUUCCUGAUCUAGAUCAUCCUCCGGAGGUGUUGGACUGGCAGCCUUCCUCUUCUGGCUUCGUGCCUCUCUAAGAGAAAGGACGUCUUGAUUGGGGUCCAGCGGCUGCAGCGUGCCAGCCCCUGCUGCUGAAGCCUUCUUCGGCGGCAUGACGAAGGUGAUGCUUGCCGAAGGUGUUGAAAAGCUCAAGAAAUGGAAGUGAGUUCACCGGAGGUGGGCGCCAAUGUUGGAGACUUGUUCUCAAGUGCUAUGAGUUAAGAACAAGGCAACAUAGAAAAUGUUAAUCGUUAAAGUCCUUCGUCCUCCGAAGCAUUAUUUCCCUUAGGAUAUAAUGGUUUACGGACGAAGGUCUGGAAGGACAUACCUUCAUAAACUCAUUAAACAAUGACGAAGGAGGAAAUGUAAAGGAUAUAAAAGACAACAUGAACGAUUAUAUAUUACUAUCAGGCAUAAACACAAAUAUUAUUGAAUUACAAGUGUACCUUUAAUCGAGAGGAGAUGACAAUACAAGCGUGACGCAAAAAGUGAAUGCCAAGUCAGCGUGAACAGUACGGGGAUACUGUUCACCUAUUUAUAGGCACGGGACACAGCCCUUACAAAAUUACAUUCAUGCCCUUUACAUUUGAUAAUAAUUCUAUAGCAGUCUAUCGAGGUCUGAAUAGCCUUUUCAUCUUUAAGUCGGUUCCACUCUUUGCUGUCACGCCGAAGCCUUCCUGCUCACACCUUCGGCGCUGCAUCAACCUUCGUAUUAUUCUGGUCUACUGCAAUGCCGAUUUUAGUCCGAGGAUACCUGUUCACACAUUGUACUCCAGAAAUACUGUUAAAUCCUGUUUUUGAGGACCUUCGGAUGCCGAAGGUCCCCAACAUGGCCAUUGAUCGUCGACCAGAGGCUCAUACACCUCACCCCACAUAUGUUUCCUUGCCAUAGAUGACAUUCUUGGAUUUCUGGUGGAGACCAUUUCUUGGUCAAAAAUCCGUAGGUGUUAGCCUUCGAUAUUAUUGAAAAUGGUCGUUCAUGGCUACUUUCGACAAAAAUGGGGGUUGUGUGGCCAUUGAUCAUCGACCAGAGGCUCAUACACCUCACCCCACAUAUGUUUCCUUGCCAUAGAUCACAUUCUUGGAUUUUGGUGGAGACCAUUUCUUGGUCAAAAAUCGUAGGUGUUAGCCUUCGUAUUAUUGAAAAUGGUCUUCAUGGCUAUUUUCGCAAAAUGGGGGUUGUGUGGCCAUUGAUCAUCGACCAGAGGCUCAUACACCUCACCCCACAUAUGUUUCCUUGCCAUAGAUCACAUUCUUGGAUUUCUGGUGGAGACCAUUUCUUGGUCAAAAAUCCGUAGGUGUUAGCCUUCGGUAUUAUUGAAAAUGGUCGUUCAUGGCUAUUUUCGACAAAAAUGGGGGUUGUGUGGCCAUUGAUCAUCGACCAGAGCUCAUACACCUCACCCCACAUAUGUUUCCUUGCCAUAGAUCACAUUCUUGGAUUUCUGGUGGAGACCAUUUCUUGGUCAAAAAUCCGUAGGUGUUAGCCUUAGUAUUAUUGAAAAUGGUCGUCAUGGCUAUUUUCGGACAAAAAUGGGGGUUGUGUGGCCAUUGAUCAUCGACCAGAGGCUCAUACACCUCACCCCACAUAUGUUUCCUUGCCAUAGAUCACAUUCUUGGAUUUCUGGUGGAGACCAUUUCUUGGUCAAAAAUCCGUAGUGUUAGCCUUCGGUAUUAUUGAAAAUGGUCAUUCAUGGCUAUUUUCGCAAAAUGGGGGUUGUGUGGCCAUUGAUCUCGACCAGAGGCUCAUACACCUCACCCCACAUAUGUUUCCUUGCCAUAGAUCACAUUCUUGGAUUUCUGGUGGAGACCAUUUCUUGGUCAAAAAUCCGUAGGUGUUAGCCUUCGUAUUAUUGAAAAUGGUCUUCAUGGCUAUUUUCGGACAAAAUGGGGGUUGUGUGGCCAUUGAUCGUCGACCAGAGGCUCAUACACCUCACCCCACAUAUGUUUCCUUGCCAUAGAUCACAUUCUUGGAUUUCUGGUGGAGACCAUUUCUUGGUCAAAAAUCCGUAGGUGUUAGCCUUCGUAUUAUUGAAAAUGGUCGUUCAUGGCUAUUUUCGACAAAAAUGGGGGUUGUGUGGCCAUUGAUCAUUGACUAGAGGCUCAUACACCUCACCCCACAUAUGUUUCCUUGCCAUAGAUCACAUUCUUGGAUUUCUGGUGGAGACCAUUUCUUGGUCAAAAAUCCGUAGGUGUUAGCCUUCGGUAUUAUUGAAAAUGGUCGUUCAUGGCUAUUUUCGACAAAAAUGGGGGUUGUGUGGCCAUUGAUCGUCGACCAGAGGCUCAUACACCUCACCCCACAUAUGUUUCCUUGCCAUAGAUCACAUUCUUGGAUUUCUGGUGGAGACCAUUUCUUGGUCAAAAAUCGUAGGUGUUAGCCUUCGUAUUAUUGAAAAUGGUCGUUCAUGGCUAUUUUUGACAAAAAUGGGGGUUGUGUGGCCAUUGAUCGUCGACCAGAGGCUCAUACACCUCACCCCACAUAUGUUUCCUUGCCAUAGAUCACAUUCUUGGAUUUCUGGUGGAGACCAUUUCUUGGUCAAAAAUCCGUAGGUGUUAGCCUUCGGUAUUAUUGAAAAUGGUCGUUCAUGGCUAUUUUCGACAAAAAUGGGGGUUGUGUGGCCAUUGAUCAUCGACCAGAGGCUCAUACACCUCACCCCACAUAUGUUUCCUUGCCAUAGAUCACAUUCUUGGAUUUCUGGUGGAGACCAUUUCUUGGUCAAAAAUCCGUAGGUGUUAGCCUUCGUAUUAUUGAAAAUGGUCGUUCAUGGCUAUUUUCGACAAAAAUGGGGGUUGUGUGGCCAUUGAUCAUCGACCAGAGGCUCAUACACCUCACCCCACAUAUGUUUCCUUGCCAUAGAUCACAUUCUUGGAUUUCUGGUGGAGACCAUUUCUUGGUCAAAAAUCCGUAGGUGUUAGCCUUCGGUAUUAUUGAAAAUGGUCAUUCAUGGCUAUUUUCGACAAAAUGGGGGUUGUGUGGCCAUUGAUCAUCGACCAGAGGCUCAUACACCUCACCCCACAUAUGUUUCCUUGCCAUAGAUCACAUUCUUGGAUUUCUGGUGGAGACCAUUUCUUGGUCAAAAAUCCGUAGGUGUUAGCCUUCGUAUUAUUGAAAAUGGUCGUUCAUGGCUAUUUUCGACAAAAAUGGGGGUUGUGUGGCCAUUGAUCAUCGACCAGAGGCUCAUACACCUCACCCCACAUAUGUUUCCUUGCCAUAGAUCACAUUCUUGGAUUUCUGGUGGAGACCAUUUCUUGGUCAAAAAUCCGUAGUGUUAGCCUUCGGUAUUAUUGAAAAUGGUCAUUCAUGGCUAUUUUCGACAAAAAUGGGGGUUGUGUGGCCAUUGAUCAUCGACCAGAGGCUCAUACACCUCACCCCACAUAUGUUUCCUUGCCAUAGAUCACAUUCUUGGAUUUCUGGUGGAGACCAUUUCUUGGUCAAAAAUCCGUAGGUGUUAGCCUUCGUAUUAUUGAAAAUGGUCGUUCAUGGCUAUUUUCGACAAAAAUGGGGGUUGUGUGGCCAUUGAUCAUCGACCAGAGGCUCAUACACCUCACCCCACAUAUGUUUCCUUGCCAUAGAUCACAUUCUUGGAUUUCUGGUGGAGACCAUUUCUUGGUCAAAAAUCGUAGGUGUUAGCCUUCGUAUUAUUGAAAAUGGUCAUUCAUGGCUAUUUUCGACAAAAUGGGGGUUGUGUGGCCAUUGAUCAUCGACCAGAGGCUCAUACACCUCACCCCACAUAUGUUUCCUUGCCAUAGAUCACAUUCUUGGAUUUCUGGUGGAGACCAUUUCUUGGUCAAAAAUCCGUAGGUGUUAGCCUUCGAUAUUAUUGAAAAUGGUCGUUCAUGGCUAUUUUCGACAAAAAUGGGGGUUGUGUGGCCAUUGAUCAUCGACCAGAGGCUCAUACACCUCACCCCACAUAUGUUUCCUUGCCAUAGAUCACAUUCUUGGAUUUCUGGUGGAGACCAUUUCUUGGUCAAAAAUCCGUAGGUGUUAGCCUUCGGUAUUAUUGAAAAUGGUCAUUCAUGGCUAUUUUCGACAAAAAUGGGGGUUGUGUGGCCAUUGAUCAUCGACCAGAGGCUCAUACACCUCACCCCACAUAUGUUUCCUUGCCAUAGAUCACAUUCUUGGAUUUCUGGUGGAGACCAUUUCUUGGUCAAAAAUCCGUAGGUGUUAGCCUCUAUAUUAUUGAAAAUGGUCGUUCAUGGCUAUUUUCGACAAAAAUGGGGGUUGUGUGGCCAUUGAUCAUCGACCAGAGGCUCAUACACCUCACCCCACAUAUGUUUCCUUGCCAUAGAUCACAUUCUUGGAUUUCUGGUGGAGACCAUUUCUUGGUCAAAAAUCCGUAGGUGUUAGCCUUCGGUAUUAUUGAAAAUGGUCGUUCAUGGCUAUUUUCGACAAAAAUGGGGGUUGUGUGGCCAUUGAUCAUCGACCAGAGGCUCAUACACCUCACCCCACAUAUGUUUCCUUGCCAUAGAUCACAUUCUUGGAUUUCUGGUGGAGACCAUUUCUUGGUCAAAAAUCCGUAGGUGUUAGCCUUCGUAUUAUUGAAAAUGGUCAUUCAUGGCUAUUUUCGACAAAAAUGGGGGUUGUGUGGCCAUUGAUCUCGACCAGAGGCUCAUACACCUCACCCCACAUAUGUUUCCUUGCCAUAGAUCACAUUCUUGGAUUUCUGGUGGAGACCAUUUCUUGGUCAAAAAUCCGUAGGUGUUAGCCUUCGUAUUAUUGAAAAUGGUCGUUCAUGGCUAUUUUCGACAAAAUGGGGGUUGUGUGGCCAUUGAUCAUCGACCAGAGGCUCAUACACCUCACCCCACAUAUGUUUCCUUGCCAUAGAUCACAUUCUUGGAUUUCUGGUGGAGACCAUUUCUUGGUCAAAAAUCCGUAGGUGUUAGCCUUCGGUAUUAUUGAAAAUGGUCGUUCAUGGCUAUUUUCGACAAAAAUGGGGGUUGUGUGGCCAUUGAUCAUCGACCAGAGGCUCAUACACCUCACCCCACAUAUGUUUCCUUGCCAUAGAUCACAUUCUUGGAUUUCUGGUGGAGACCAUUUCUUGGUCAAAAAUCCGUAGGUGUUAGCCUUCGUAUUAUUGAAAAUGGUCGUUCAUGGCUAUUUUCGACAAAAAUGGGGGUUGUGUGGCCAUUGAUCAUCGACCAGAGGCUCAUACACCUCACCCCACAUAUGUUUCCUUGCCAUAGAUCACAUUCUUGGAUUUCUGGUGGAGACCAUUUCUUGGUCAAAAAUCCGUAGGUGUUAGCCUUCGUAUUAUUGAAAAUGGUCGUUCAUGGCUAUUUUCGACAAAAAUGGGGGUUGUGUGGCCAUUGAUCAUCGACCAGAGGCUCAUACACCUCACCCCACAUAUGUUUCCUUGCCAUAGAUCACAUUCUUGGAUUUCUGGUGGAGACCAUUUCUUGGUCAAAAAUCCGUAGGUGUUAGCCUUGUAUUAUUGAAAAUGGUCGUUCAUGGCUAUUUUCGACAAAAAUGGGGGUUGUGUGGCCAUUGAUCAUCGACCAGAGGCUCAUACACCUCACCCCACAUAUGUUUCCUUGCCAUAGAUCACAUUCUUGGAUUUCUGGUGGAGACCAUUUCUUGGUCAAAAAUCCGUAGGUGUUAGCCUUCGUAUUAUUGAAAAUGGUCGUUCAUGGCUAUUUUCGACAAAAAUGGGGGUUGUGUGGCCAUUGAUCAUCGACCAGAGGCUCAUACACCUCACCCCACAUAUGUUUCCUUGCCAUAGAUCACAUUCUUGGAUUUCUGGUGGAGACCAUUUCUUGGUCAAAAAUCCGUAGGUGUUAGCCUUCGGUAUUAUUGAAAAUGGUCGUUCAUGGCUAUUUUCGACAAAAAUGGGGGUUGUGUGGCCAUUGAUCAUCGACCAGAGGCUCAUACACCUCACCCCACAUAUGUUUCCUUGCCAUAGAUCACAUUCUUGGAUUUCUGGUGGAGACCAUUUCUUGGUCAAAAAUCCGUAGGUGUUAGCCUUCGUAUUAUUGAAAAUGGUCGUUCAUGGCUAUUUUCGACAAAAAUGGGGGUUGUGUGGCCAUUGAUCAUCGACCAGAGGCUCAUACACCUCACCCCACAUAUGUUUCCUUGCCAUAGAUCACAUUCUUGGAUUUCUGGUGGAGACCAUUUCUUGGUCAAAAAUCCGUAGGUGUUAGCCUUAGUAUUAUUGAAAAUGGUCGUUCAUGGCUAUUUUCGACAAAAAUGGGGGUUGUGUGGCCAUUGAUCAUCGACUAGAGGCUCAUACACCUCACCCCACAUAUGUUUCCUUGCCAUAGAUCACAUUCUUGGAUUUCUGGUGGAGACCAUUUCUUGGUCAAAAAUCCGUAGGUGUUAGCCUCUAGUAUUAUUGAAAAUGGUCGUUCAUGGCUAUUUUCGGCAAAAUGGGGGUUGUGUGGCCAUUGAUCAUCGACCAGAGGCUCAUACACCUCACCCCACAUAUGUUUCCUUGCCAUAGAUCACAUUCUUGGAUUUCUGGUGGAGACCAUUUCUUGGUCAAAAAUCCGUAGGUGUUAGCCUUCGUAUUAUUGAAAAUGGUCGUUCAUGGCUAUUUUCGGCAAAAUGGGGGUUGUGUGGCCAUUGAUCAUCGACCAGAGGCUCAUACACCUCACCCCACAUAUGUUUCCUUGCCAUAGAUCACAUUCUUGGAUUUCUGGUGGAGACCAUUUCUUGGUCAAAAAUCCGUAGGUGUUAGCCUUCGUAUUAUUGAAAAUGGUCGUUCAUGGCUAUUUUCGACAAAAAUGGGGGUUGUGUGGCCAUUGAUCAUCGACCAGAGGCUCAUACACCUCACCCCACAUAUGUUUCCUUGCCAUAGAUCACAUUCUUGGAUUUCUGGUGGAGACCAUUUCUUGGUCAAAAAUCCGUAGGUGUUAGCCUUCGUAUUAUUGAAAAUGGUCGUUCAUGGCUAUUUUCGACAAAAAUGGGGGUUGUGUGGCCAUUGAUCAUCGACCAGAGCUCAUACACCUCACCCCACAUAUGUUUCCUUGCCAUAGAUCACAUUCUUGGAUUUCUGGUGGAGACCAUUUCUUGGUCAAAAAUCCGUAGGUGUUAGCCUUCGGUAUUAUUGAAAAUGGUCGUUCAUGGCUAUUUUCAAAAAAAAUGGGGGUUGUGUGGCCAUUGAUCAUCGACCAGAGGCUCAUACACCUCACCCCACAUAUGUUUCCUUGCCAUAGAUCACAUUCUUGGAUUUCUGGUGGAGACCAUUUCUUGGUCAAAAUCCGUAGGUGUUAGCCUUCGGUAUUAUUGAAAAUGGUCGUUCAUGGCUAUUUUCGACAAAAAUGGGGGUUGUGUGGCCAUUGAUCAUCGACCAGAGGCUCAUACACCUCACCCCACAUAUGUUUCCUUGCCAUAGAUCACAUUCUUGGAUUUCUGGUGGAGACCAUUUCUUGGUCAAAAAUCCGUAGGUGUUAGCCUUCGUAUUAUUGAAAAUGGUCGUUCAUGGCUAUUUUCGACAAAAAUGGGGGUUGUGUGGCCAUUGAUCAUCGACAGAGGCUCAUACACCUCACCCCACAUAUGUUUCCUUGCCAUAGAUCACAUUCUUGGAUUUCUGGUGGAGACCAUUUCUUGGUCAAAAAUCCGUAGGUGUUAGCCUUCGGUAUUAUUGAAAAUGGUCGUUCAUGGCUAUUUUCGACAAAAAUGGGGGUUGUGUGGCCAUUGAUCAUCGACCAGAGGCUCAUACACCUCACCCCACAUAUGUUUCCUUGCCAUAGAUCACAUUCUUGGAUUUCUGGUGGAGACCAUUUCUUGGUCAAAAAUCCGUAGGUGUUAGCCUUCGUAUUAUUGAAAAUGGUCGUUCAUGGCUAUUUUCGACAAAAAUGGGGGUUGUGUGGCCAUUGAUCAUCGACCAGAGGCUCAUACACCUCACCCCACAUAUGUUUCCUUGCCAUAGAUCACAUUCUUGGAUUUCUGGUGGAGACCAUUUCUUGGUCAAAAAUCCGUAGGUGUUAGCCUUCGGUAUUAUUGAAAAUGGUCAUUCAUGGCUAUUUUCGACAAAAAUGGGGGUUGUGUGGCCAUUGAUCAUCGACCAGAGGCUCAUACACCUCACCCCACAUAUGUUUCCUUGCCAUAGAUCACAUUCUUGGAUUUCUGGUGGAGACCAUUUCUUGGUCAAAAAUCCGUAGGUGUUAGCCUCUGUAUUAUUGAAAAUGGUCGUUCAUGGCUAUUUUCGACAAAAAUGGGGGUUGUGUGGCCAUUGAUCAUCGACAGAGGCUCAUACACCUCACCCCACAUAUGUUUCCUUGCCAUAGAUCACAUUCUUGGAUUUCUGGUGGAGACCAUUUCUUGGUCAAAAAUCCGUAGGUGUUAGCCUUCAGUAUUAUUGAAAAUGGUCGUCAUGGCUAUUUUCGACAAAAAUGGGGGUUGUGUGGCCAUUGAUCAUCGACCAGAGGCUCAUACACCUCACCCCACAUAUGUUUCCUUGCCAUAGAUCACAUUCUUGGAUUUCUGGUGGAGACCAUUUCUUGGUCAAAAAUCCGUAGGUGUUAGCCUUCGUAUUAUUGAAAAUGGUCGUUCAUGGCUAUUUUCGACAAAAAUGGGGGUUGUGUGGCCAUUGAUCAUCGACCAGAGGCUCAUACACCUCACCCCACAUAUGUUUCCUUGCCAUAGAUCACAUUCUUGGAUUUCUGGUGGAGACCAUUUCUUGGUCAAAAAUCCGUAGUGUUAGCCUUCGGUAUUAUUGAAAAUGGUCAUUCAUGGCUAUUUUCGACAAAAAUGGGGGUUGUGUGGCCAUUGAUCAUCGACCAGAGGCUCAUACACCUCACCCCACAUAUGUUUCCUUGCCAUAGAUCACAUUCUUGGAUUUCUGGUGGAGACCAUUUCUUGGUCAAAAAUCCGUAGGUGUUAGCCUUCAGUAUUAUUGAAAAUGGUCGUUCAUGGCUAUUUUCGACAAAAAUGGGGGUUGUGUGGCCAUUGAUCAUCGACCAGAGGCUCAUACACCUCACCCCACAUAUGUUUCCUUGCCAUAGAUCACAUUCUUGGAUUUCUGGUGGAGACCAUUUCUUGGUCAAAAAUCGUAGUGUUAGCCUUCGGUAUUAUUGAAAAUGGUCGUUCAUGGCUAUUUUCGACAAAAAUGGGGGUUGUGUGGCCAUUGAUCAUCGACCAGAGGCUCAUACACCUCACCCCACAUAUGUUUCCUUGCCAUAGAUCACAUUCUUGGAUUUCUGGUGGAGACCAUUUCUUGGUCAAAAAUCCGUAGUGUUAGCCUUCGGUAUUAUUGAAAAUGGUCAUUCAUGGCUAUUUUCGACAAAAAUGGGGGUUGUGUGGCCAUUGAUCAUCGACCAGAGGCUCAUACACCUCACCCACAUAUGUUUCCUUGCCAUAGAUCACAUUCUUGGAUUUCUGGUGGAGACCAUUUCUUGGUCAAAAAUCCGUAGGUGUUAGCCUUCGGUAUUAUUGAAAAUGGUCGUUCAUGGCUAUUUUCGACAAAAAUGGGGUUGUGUGGCCAUUGAUCAUCGACCAGAGGCUCAUACACCUCACCCCACAUAUGUUUCCUUGCCAUAGAUCACAUUCUUGGAUUUCUGGUGGAGACCAUUUCUUGGUCAAAAAUCCGUAGGUGUUAGCCUUAGGUAUUAUUGAAAAUGGUCGUUCAUGGCUAUUUUCGACAAAAAUGGGGGUUGUGUGGCCAUUGAUCAUCGACCAGAGGCUCAUACACCUCACCCCACAUAUGUUUCCUUGCCAU